UGAGGAAUAUUGGUCAAUGAGCGCAAGCCUGAACCAGCCAUCCCGCGUGCAGGAAGACGGCCCUAUGGGUUGUAAACUGCUUUUCCAGGGAGAGAAACUUGCGCACGUGUUGCGCAAUUGACGGUACCCUGGGAAUAAGCAUCGGCUAACUCCGUGCCAGCAGCCGCGGUAAUACGGAGGAUGCGAGCGUUAUCCGGAUUCAUUGGGUUUAAAGGGUGCGUAGGCGGACUAUUAAGUCAGUGGUGAAAUCCUGCAGCUUAACUGCAGAACUGCCAUUGAUACUGAUAGCCUUGAGUUUGGUUAAGGUAGGCGGAAUGUGUAAUGUAGCGGUGAGAUGCUUAGAUAUUACACAGAACACCAAUUGCGUAGGCAGCUUACUGAGCCGACACUGACGCUGAGGCACAAAAGCGUGGGGAUCGAACGG
rnacentral:rRNA from 1 species